AAGUCGUAACAAGGUAACCGUAGGUGAACCUGCGGUUGGAUCAUUAGUGAAUUUUGAUAGUUUGACUAUCUUUAUUAUGGGAGGUCCCUUAUUAGAGGGAUAGUACCUAUCACUUUUUGUGAACUGUUGAAUGUCUUUGGUUAGCAUUUUUCCUAGGCAUAAUCACCUAGGCUUCAUCACUUGGGUGAAUUACGUAGGAAAAUCUAACCUUUAUCUUGAACCUAUAGUUUUCCUAUUAGUCUAAUACCUUUCUAGUAAUAGAAUACAACUUUUGACAAUGGAUCUCUUGGCUCUC
rnacentral:misc_RNA from 1 species